rnacentral:rRNA from 1 species
AGCGUACACGGUGGAUGCCCUGGCAGUCAGAGGCGAUGAAGGACGUGCUAAUCUGCGAUAAGCGUCGGUAAGGUGAUAUGAACCGUUAUAACCGGCGAUUUCCGAAUGGGGAAACCCAGUGUGUUUCGACACACUAUCAUUAACUGAAUCCAUAGGUUAAUGAGGCGAACCGGGGGAACUGAAACAUCUAAGUACCCCGAGGAAAAGAAAUCAACCGAGAUUCCCCCAGUAGCGGCGAGCGAACGGGGAGGAGCCCAGAGCCUGAAUCAGUGUGUGUGUUAGUGGAAGCGUCUGGAAAGGCGCGCGAUACAGGGUGACAGCCCCGUACACAAAAAUGCACAUACUGUGAGCUCGAUGAGUAGGGCGGGACACGUGGUAUCCUGUCUGAAUAUGGGGGGACCAUCCUCCAAGGCUAAAUACUCCUGACUGACCGAUAGUGAACCAGUACCGUGAGGGAAAGGCGAAAAGAACCCCGGCGAGGGGAGUGAAAAAGAACCUGAAACCGUGUACGUACAAGCAGUGGGAGCCUCUUUUAUGGGGUGACUGCGUACCUUUUGUAUAAUGGGUCAGCGACUUAUAUUCUGUAGCAAGGUUAACCGAAUAGGGGAGCCGAAGGGAAACCGAGUCUUAACUGGGCGUUAAGUUGCAGGGUAUAGACCCGAAACCCGGUGAUCUAGCCAUGGGCAGGUUGAAGGUUGGGUAACACUAACUGGAGGACCGAACCGACUAAUGUUGAAAAAUUAGCGGAUGACUUGUGGCUGGGGGUGAAAGGCCAAUCAAACCGGGAGAUAGCUGGUUCUCCCCGAAAGCUAUUUAGGUAGCGCCUCGUGAAUUCAUCUCCGGGGGUAGAGCACUGUUUCGGCAAGGGGGUCAUCCCGACUUACCAACCCGAUGCAAACUGCGAAUACCGGAGAAUGUUAUCACGGGAGACACACGGCGGGUGCUAACGUCCGUCGUGAAGAGGGAAACAACCCAGACCGCCAGCUAAGGUCCCAAAGUCAUGGUUAAGUGGGAAACGAUGUGGGAAGGCCCAGACAGCCAGGAUGUUGGCUUAGAAGCAGCCAUCAUUUAAAGAAAGCGUAAUAGCUCACUGGUCGAGUCGGCCUGCGCGGAAGAUGUAACGGGGCUAAACCAUGCACCGAAGCUGCGGCAGCGACGCUUAUGCGUUGUUGGGUAGGGGAGCGUUCUGUAAGCCUGUGAAGGUGUGCUGUGAGGCAUGCUGGAGGUAUCAGAAGUGCGAAUGCUGACAUAAGUAACGAUAAAGCGGGUGAAAAGCCCGCUCGCCGGAAGACCAAGGGUUCCUGUCCAACGUUAAUCGGGGCAGGGUGAGUCGACCCCUAAGGCGAGGCCGAAAGGCGUAGUCGAUGGGAAACAGGUUAAUAUUCCUGUACUUGGUGUUACUGCGAAGGGGGGACGGAGAAGGCUAUGUUGGCCGGGCGACGGUUGUCCCGGUUUAAGCGUGUAGGCUGGUUUUCCAGGCAAAUCCGGAAAAUCAAGGCUGAGGCGUGAUGACGAGGCACUACGGUGCUGAAGCAACAAAUGCCCUGCUUCCAGGAAAAGCCUCUAAGCAUCAGGUAACAUCAAAUCGUACCCCAAACCGACACAGGUGGUCAGGUAGAGAAUACCAAGGCGCUUGAGAGAACUCGGGUGAAGGAACUAGGCAAAAUGGUGCCGUAACUUCGGGAGAAGGCACGCUGAUAUGUAGGUGAAGCGACUUGCUCGUGGAGCUGAAAUCAGUCGAAGAUACCAGCUGGCUGCAACUGUUUAUUAAAAACACAGCACUGUGCAAACACGAAAGUGGACGUAUACGGUGUGACGCCUGCCCGGUGCCGGAAGGUUAAUUGAUGGGGUUAGCGGUAACGCGAAGCUCUUGAUCGAAGCCCCGGUAAACGGCGGCCGUAACUAUAACGGUCCUAAGGUAGCGAAAUUCCUUGUCGGGUAAGUUCCGACCUGCACGAAUGGCGUAAUGAUGGCCAGGCUGUCUCCACCCGAGACUCAGUGAAAUUGAACUCGCUGUGAAGAUGCAGUGUACCCGCGGCAAGACGGAAAGACCCCGUGAACCUUUACUAUAGCUUGACACUGAACAUUGAGCCUUGAUGUGUAGGAUAGGUGGGAGGCUUUGAAGUGUGGACGCCAGUCUGCAUGGAGCCGACCUUGAAAUACCACCCUUUAAUGUUUGAUGUUCUAACGUUGGCCCCUGAUCGGGGUUGCGGACAGUGUCUGGUGGGUAGUUUGACUGGGGCGGUCUCCUCCUAAAGAGUAACGGAGGAGCACGAAGGUUGGCUAAUCCUGGUCGGACAUCAGGAGGUUAGUGCAAUGGCAUAAGCCAGCUUGACUGCGAGCGUGACGGCGCGAGCAGGUGCGAAAGCAGGUCAUAGUGAUCCGGUGGUUCUGAAUGGAAGGGCCAUCGCUCAACGGAUAAAAGGUACUCCGGGGAUAACAGGCUGAUACCGCCCAAGAGUUCAUAUCGACGGCGGUGUUUGGCACCUCGAUGUCGGCUCAUCACAUCCUGGGGCUGAAGUAGGUCCCAAGGGUAUGGCUGUUCGCCAUUUAAAGUGGUACGCGAGCUGGGUUUAGAACGUCGUGAGACAGUUCGGUCCCUAUCUGCCGUGGGCGCUGGAGAACUGAGGGGGGCUGCUCCUAGUACGAGAGGACCGGAGUGGACGCAUCACUGGUGUUCGGGUUGUCAUGCCAAUGGCACUGCCCGGUAGCUAAAUGCGGAAGAGAUAAGUGCUGAAAGCAUCUAAGCACGAAACUUGCCCCGAGAUGAGUUCU